CCCUGCUCCUCUUCCUCGUCCUCUUCCACGUCCCCUGUAACCAUUAUGAUU
rnacentral:sRNA from 1 species